GCCGAAGUAGCUCAGCUGGUAGAGCAGCUCACUCGUAAUGAGCAGGUCGGCGGUUCGAGUCCGCUCUUCGGCU
rnacentral:tRNA from 2 species